AUCAACAAAGAAAAAAAUUGAAAGUGUGCAAAACAUCAAUUGCGAGUGAAUAUUUCUCUUCCAUUUAAAGAUGAAAAAUGUAUCGCUCACAAUUCGAACGGGUCAAGAGACCGGUGCCAAGAGAUGUGCCUUUACACAGUGUUCUACAUGUUCUUUUGUUUCAAUACGAGGUUAACAUGCAGCAACAACCGAUGAUUAUGUUUCUUCCGCAAGUUCUGUUCUCCAAAGUUCUCUAUUCUCCAGUACAAACCUAGCUACAAAUUAGGCUCUGAAGCUUAUAAACGCCAACUAUGUUUGUGUUAUAAAUGUAUAUAUAAAAUGUAUGUUAAUUAU